GGCCAGCUAGCUCAGUCAGUAGAGCAUGAAACUCUUAAUCUCAAGGUCAUGGGUUCAAACCCCAUAUUGGGUA
rnacentral:tRNA from 1 species